UGGCUGCUGGAACCGAUGGACAGGAAGGCGAUGAAACAACUGCAGAAAAGCAAAGAAGAGAACAUGUUGCUUGCUGGUAGAUCUCUGCUUUUUCUAUCGAGUUGCAACUCCUUUUAUACUUCCUCGUCCCUGUUUCGUAGGUGAAGAACCACUGCGAUUUUAACAUAUUUUCCAUUUUUGUCUGUCUUGCCACUGAUUUUUACAUGCAAAGCUACUGGGUGCGGUUCAAGGACAGCACUGUACAAAAAAAUGCGUAGACGUUCGUUGACGAUGACGGAUCCGCGCUACAGGAAAUCCUUAUUCUCACAAGUACUACAUGGAUUCACACACAGUCAUAUGGACUUCAUAAAGAAAAAAUGUCAGGUUCUCUUCCAUUGUAAAGAAUAGGAAAAAGGUUAGAGACCGGACUUGGCUCCAAAGAAGAUGCUACCAAGUGCUGUUUUCUCAUCUACUAUUUAGAAAUCUAAUUUUUUCUACGUCUUCCGUCAUUGUCACUUCAAAGGGGAAAACAGCAAUCCACUCAUUCACAUGUCGAUGACUUCCGUAAGAACGUCGGCCAGCUGGAAAACUUGUUUGAAAAAGAAAAGAUCAUUUCAAAUCAGAAAAUCUAAAAAUAAAGUUAAUUGUAGUACAGUCCAGUGACGACUUUAUUAACGAGUUCUUACAUUUUAUGAGACUAAUCGACGUUUCGUUAUUCUCCUUAUUCAGAUACAACCAAGUUAAAUCUUAAUAUCUAUGGGAUGAAUGGAAUGGGAAACGUGCGAGAUGGAACCGUAAGUAAAUGAAAAUAUUUGAAGAUUCGCCAACAAAGUGCUGUAAUCUCCGACAACGGAUCCCCUGCAGAAAUAGGAACUGCCAUUUCAAAAUCUCGGUAAUUGGACACUGAUUCCGCUCAUUGAUUCCACUAAGUUGGAGAGAGUUUUCUAAAAAUAUUUUGCAUGUGUUUUUGUUUUGUUUCUGAUAGUUGCUGUAUUUCAUGUGCUGGGGGCAAAGCAGCUGACAAGAAAGAGCUACAAUAAUUAAAAAUCCACACAUCGGCGAUAAAGUGCCAAGGAAACGGACCGCCUUCCUCCUACCGCUUCAAUUUCUCCUUUUUCAAGAGUUUUUGAAUACUGACCUUGUUGAAAGAGGAGAAAUCAACGUCUGCUUUUAAGAUAAUCCAUCAUAUACAGAUGGAUAAACCCGCUAGACAACAACCAGAAUAGCUGCCCGUUCUCCCUGUUUCCAUAACAAAAAAACAAGACUGAUGGUAAAAAAAAAAAAAAACAUUGGCAACAAAAGCAAAGGUAAAUCCUGAACGGGUCAUUACCUUGGGAGGAAUGAUUGAUCAAAUGGCAACAUUUGCACGAAUCUCAGUUAAUCCAUUUUCAGAUAGUUCAUUGACCCUUACAUUCCCCCCAAAUUUCACGCUCUCCAAUAGCAAAAUCCUUGACAAUUAGUCCCUCAAAUUUAGUUUUUAGUGUAAAAUUCAAUUCUUACAUCAAGUUAUUGGCCAUUGGAUGCGCUUACUCAACGUAGCGUGAUCUGAUUUAAUUGUUAACGAAAGCUUUCUUAACGUCUCGCUAAUGUCUAAAGCAAGUGUAAAAUCCAGAAAACGUUCUUAGUAUCUUUUCUCCUUUUUUUGCAAUCGGUUGAACUCGUUGGAGAUUCUAAAUUUUUAUUUAUAAUAUCCGAAUUGUUUCCAAACCUAUGAAUCCAAAUGGCGGAAUGGAUACCAUGGUGGAAGAUUGUCGUUUGAUCCGGGCUGGCUGCAGAAUUUUAUGGUCAAUAGUGUCCUGCCUUUGAAAGUUUUGACGUUAAAUCAAUUCCAGCACUGCUGUUUAAAGUUUUAUCUUUAUUUAUUAUUUUUAUUAAUCAUUUUUUAAAGCUUUGUUCAUCGGUAAACCCUUCCAUAGAAUUCAGAAUAUUGGUCUCCUGUAAAUUAGUCAUUUUUGGUUGGUUUAUGUUAAGGAUGAGUUAGCAGCGUGCCCAUAGAUUAAAGAGUUCCUUUUAAUCAAUACUGCCUUGUAAGGUAACUUCUGUUUGCACUUGGGGUUUCAAUUCAUCCCCCCAUCUUUACAAACCAAGACGUGAAGACCAUUGGUCAUUGCUCAACUGCAGUCCGGAGUGGGCCCUCAGAAAUGGGAGACCUUGGAUUGCUUUUGCAUCCUUGUCUCACCAAUUCCUUGAUCUGUAAAAGUGUAGAAAUCACAAGGUGUAAUGCGAAAUGUGAGUACGAAUCUGCUGCCGAAGAUAUUGUUUGAGACCGUUUAUUGGUAAAUAUUGAAAA